AUCAACGCUGGCGGCGUGCCUCAGACAUGCAAGUCGAACGAUUAAAGCUCUCUUCGGAGAGUGUAUAGAGUGGCGCACGGGUGAGUAACACGUAAGUAAUCUACCUUCGAGUGGGGAAUAACGUUCGGAAACGAACGCUAAUACCGCAUAAUGCAGCGGCAUCGCAAGAUGACAGUUGUUAAAGGAAUUUAUUUCGCUUGAAGAGGAGCUUGCGGCAGAUUAGCUAGUUGGUAAGGUAACGGCUUACCAAGGCUACGAUCUGUAUCCGGUCUAAGAGGACGGUCGGACACACUGACACUGAAUAACGGGUCAGACUCCUACGGGAGGCAGCAGUCGGGAAUUUUGGGCAAUGGGCGAAAGCCUGACCCAGCAACGCCGCGUGAAGGAUGAAGUAUUUCGGUAUGUAAACUUCGAAAGAAUGGGAAGAAUAAAUGACGGUACCAUUUAUAAGCUCCGGCUAACUACGU
rnacentral:rRNA from 1 species